rnacentral:rRNA from 1 species
ACUCCUACGGGAGGCAGCAGUAGGGAAUAUUGCACAAUGGAGGAAACUCUGAUGCAGCCAUGCCGCGUAGUGUGAAGAAGGCCUUCGGGUUGUAAAGCACUUUCGGAGGGGAGGAAGAAAAUGACGUUACCCUCAGAAGAAGCACCGGCUAACUCCGUGC